rnacentral:rRNA from 1 species
UGGGGGAAUAUUGCGCAAUGGGGGGCAACCCUGACGCAGCAACGCCGCGUGAUCGAAGAAGGCCUUCGGGUUGUAAAGAUCUUUAAUCAGGGACGAAAUUUGACGGUACCUGAAGAAUAAGCUCCGGCUAACUACGUGCCAGCAGCCGCGGUAAUACGUAGGGAGCAAGCGUUAUCCGGAUUUACUGGGUGUAAAGGGCGAGUAGGCGGGCUGGUAAGUUGGGAGUGAAAUCCCGGGGCUUAACCCCGGAACUGCUUUCAAAACUGCUGGUCUUGAGUGAUGGAGAGGCAGGCGGAAUUCCCAGUGUAGCGGUAAAAUGCGUAGAUAUUGGGAGGAACACCAGUGGCGAAGGCGGCCUGCUGGACAUUAACUGACGCUGAGGCGCGAAAGCGUGGGGAGC